rnacentral:rRNA from 1 species
UACGAAGGGGGCUAGCGUUGCUCGGAAUCACUGGGCGUAAAGCGCACGUAGGCGGAUUGUUAAGUCAGGGGUGAAAUCCUGGAGCUCAACUCCAGAACUGCCUUUGAUACUGGCGAUCUUGAGUCCGGGAGAGGUGAGUGGGAACUCCGAGUGUAGAGGUGAAAUUCGUAGAUAUUCGGAAGAACACCAGUGGCGAAGGCGGCUCACCUGGCCCGGUACUGACGCUGAGGUGCGAAAGCG